rnacentral:lncRNA from 1 species
AGGCCCGCUAAGAAUCUACAAACAGAUUACAGAUUAACUAUGAACUAUAAAUUUAUAUCAUUAAAGACCAUAACUCAGGUAUAUAAGCCUUCAUAACUAUAAGUCUCCUAAGAUACCAUUAUAGCACAUAGUUCAAUGAAAUCAAACUAUCUAUACUAGACAAUCUAUACUGAGUCUAUUCUGCUAUGACUCUUCUAAUAUAUAGUCUAGACUCUAAGACACUUUACAC